CAAUUACUGUCAAGAAAUGAUUCAUCAGAUCCUGGUUGCGUGUCAUCUGUCAAUGGUAGUCAAACAUGGCUACAAGCAAACCUUGGAAGGUUUUCUGUUUUUGCAACCCUAGAGGAAUUGCUGGUCCUCAAUCCCAACUUCUCAAGUACUGAAUUCUUGUCAGAACUGGAUCCCGC